CAAAAUGCUCUUAUUUCAAUGCAUUUCAAGAGUUUUGUUGUGAUAAAAACACUGGAAUAUAGACUGAAAUACUAUCCAACCAUUAGACUCAUGAUCUUGACAUGGAUCCAAGAUGCUGGUAACUAAGCGGGACGGAUUGUUUCACAGAACUGCAGGUUUCUGGAUGGAGACUCAGCGCCAUGUCACAAAUACUUCAGAACCUAGAAUGAAAGUUACCGAAAGAGCAAUAGACUUUCCAAUCUCUACAAAAUUCAUCUUAACUGUUCUUCAAGGUGAUACUUGAGACUACCAAAGACUUUU